GAUUGCAUGGAAUCUGCAUUGAGUGUGCUACUGUUGAAUGUGCAUUUUUUAUCCCUUAGUUUAUUGGAUGACAUGGACAUGCUAAUUUGUCUUUAUCUGGAAUCGAUUUGUUAAAAUAGUGGAGAAGUGCCUUUUACUAGAAAUGUAGGAUUAGGUAAAAAUACUUAAGUAGCUAGAAAAGUAGAAAGCAAACGGGGUAUUAGCUCUUUGUUAAGGAUGUGGAUGCUAUUAUUGAGGAGCUAUGUUAUGUUUGUGCAGAAUUAACUCUUAUUUUCCCUUCAUAAAUGAGCCUUUCUUUGUUUUUCAGGUGCUUGUUGCUCUUUCGCAGCAACAAGGAGGUAUAAACAAGACGGUUACAAGCUCUCUGGACAACCUUUAUGAGAAGGAGUUAAUAGAUUGCGAUAGAAGCUAAAAUGAAGAUUGUGAUGGUGGGCUCAUGGACUACGCAAACCAGUUUGUUAUAGAUAACCAUGGGCAUCACUGAGAAAGAUUACCCGUAUGAGGGCUAAACAAAAAUACUGCAAUAAGAGCAAGGUUGCUAUAAGAAUUUUGAUGGUAAUCAUCUUGCAUUGAGGGAAGUGGACCCGACAUUCGAUGAGGAGCUUAUUAACUAUGAAAGGAGCAAAAAGCAUAUGCUCAAUCUGUCGCAUUUCAGAGAUGAUGCAAGUUCAAGUGAUAUUGUUUAAGACAACUGCUUACUUUAAAAAAAAGAUAAAGGUUUAACUAAAACAUGUUGCAAAGGAGCCUUUUGUAGUGACAAAAUGAAGAGCAACUUUAACCAUUUGUAAGUAUCUCAUUAUUCU